UGUUCGUCGUCCAUUGGUGUCGCCGUAGC
rnacentral:sRNA from 1 species